rnacentral:tRNA from 1 species
GCCAGCGUAGCUCAGCGGUAGAGCAGUCGAUUCGUAAUCGACCGGUCAAGGGUUCGAGUCCCUUCGCUGGCU